GGAAAAAUAGUAAGUGGCAAGGUGGCAUUAAGGUGGCAACUAGGUGGCGAGGUGGACGAAGUGGCAUGUAAGGGGCAAGGAAGUGGCAACGAGGUGGAAUGCGGCCGAGUGGCAUAGAGGUGGCAAGCAGGUGGACCUGGGUGGCAUCAAAGUGGCAUCGAGGAGCCAGCCCCAGGUGGAUGUUAAGGGGCAUCUAGGUGGUAUCGUAAGUGGCAAAUAGGAGGUUAGGUGGAAAGUAACUUAGAAUAAGUGGCGAGGCGUCCUGCCAAAAGCGGUCAAUUGAAAUGCAGAGACAAUAAAAAACAAUCAAAACAGCAAGAGAGAAAUUAUGAGAAGAACUAUUUUGUAUAUAGAAUAUGUAUAUUUAAAAAAAAAAAGUUCAUUUUUAUCAUUUUAAGUAUAUUACCCUUAAACCAUGUUUAUUUUUUGCUUUCAGCCCUGUAAUAAUUUUAGUUUUUGUAUUGUUAUUAUGUUUUGUUUUAAAAUGUUUCUGCAUUUGGUUGCUUUCUCUAAAUGUUAGCCGUUCUGAGAUCUAUUACCUUGGCAAAGCCGCUAACCUUUACGGAACUUAGUGGUGUUAAAAAUGAGAUACUUUUGCAUUGCUCACAGACAUAUAAACGGUUUUGCAUAAAUUCUUAUAGUAAAAGAUUGUUCUCUAUUUGUCUUUAUCUUCACCAAAGAAACAUUUCAUGAUACUUUUGUGUAAAUUAGUAAAAAUCAUAUUGCUUCAUGUUAGAUAUUUUGAGUCGGAUAAGUUUUUAGAUUAGCCGCUGCAAUAAAUUAGAAGGCAGUCAAAUCAAGGAGACUGGAUUUAAAGAAAAUGGUUGACGGAGUGAGCUCCAAUUCGUUUCAUUGUUAAGUGUCUCCUGAAAUUGAAAACCAGGCUGAAAACUUACUGAGUCAAAAUUUUGUUUUUAAUCUGGUGUCUUACUGAGUUGAUAGAUCAUAUUUGAAGCUUGCAAAUAUUGUUGCUACCUUCUUAUUUAUUUCAGUUUCUAAUCUAAUACCUCAAUAUAUACAAAAGUAUUAUGAAAUGAUAUGUGGGUCAGAUAAAGACAGAGAGGAAACAAUCUUUUACUAUUGGAAUUCAUGCAAAACCAUUUACAGCUCCAGGAACAAUACAAAGUGUAACAUAUUUAACACCACCAAGUUCCGUAAAAGCCAGCGGCUUUGGCAAAGUAAUGGAUUCUUGAACGGUUACCACUAAGAGGUAUGACACUCUAUGACAUGCCAACUGAAUACUGAGACAUUUACAACUGGAGUAUAAUAAAUUUAGGACUCAAACAACUAAGGGUAGAGAGGAAUUACAAGUCAACAAGUCAAAUAGUCAACAACUCACUGGCUUGUGGGCUUGGGGAUUGUGGCAUAUUAUGGGCUAGUCCCAAGUUAAAAAUAUGGUGCAAAGAUAAUGAACCUAUUAAAUUGAAAAUGCAUCGACAUAGCGGCACCACACUAACGUUUCAGGAGACGCCUCCUGAACGUUUGAUCAUCAUAAUCAACUUCAAAAUCUAUUAUCUGAAUUUCAAAUUUGGCACAAAAUUAGCGCUACCAACAGAAAUACUUAAAAUUUUAACUCCAAUUUUCCAGUAAAAGUUUUAAGCAACAAACAUAGUGAAUUUAUUCACUUAUUUCCCGGAAAAACAACUUAUAUUUUCGUCUUACACCUGAGGUUUUCUAUUGACUGAAUUGACAAUUAAAGUAUUGGAGGCAUAAGGGUGGCUGUUUUGCGGUGUUCGUCAACUGUUGAUGUCAACAUAACCUCUAAAGGUAACACGAGUUAGUUCGAGCCGGUUUGAAGACCUAGACUGUAUGUGUGUCAAUUUUUUUAACUUUUCAAUGUAUUCAUGUGAGAAACUACUGAUCAAUCAGUGUGGAGUCGUUAGAAUAAGUGACGGAAUGCGAAAUGCAGUUAAAACGUAGACGAUUUGUGGACUUUUUAAUCUCAUGAUCGUGCGACCCUGGUAUUUGUUUAUAAAUUAACUCAGGUGGAAAUCUUCCUAGUUUAUUCCUUUUGAGAAAGAAAUGUGGACUAGUUAACACCAGGACUAAAUUGGAGGUGAACAUGUCAUCAUUGCCCCGUACUAAAGUAUCACUCACCCACCAAGACAAUCUAUUGGAGAAUACUUUUCACAGGAUUUGAGCAAUACUGCAGUGUUCCAAAUAAGUUAAUGAGAAGAGUGUGCGCAAGUCUAUUUUCUACAGUUCUUGGCAAACGCAAUUGUGCUACUGCAUCAUUAGAAAAAUAAAUAUUGUUUACUGAA